rnacentral:rRNA from 1 species
GUGGAUUAGAUACCCGGGUAGUCCACGCCGUAAACGAUGAGUGCUAGCUGUAGGGAGCUAUAAGUUCUCUGUAGCGCAGCUAACGCAUUAAGCACUCCGCCUGGGGAGUACGACCGCAAGGUUGAAACUCAAAGGAAUUGACGGGGGCCCGCACAAGCGGUGGAGCAUGUGGUUUAAUUCGAAGCAACGCGAAGAACCUUACCAGGUCUUGACAUACUCGUGCUAUCCUUAGAGAUAAGGAGUUCCUUCGGGACACGGGAUACAGGUGGUGCAUGGUCGGCGUCAGCU